CCCUUCAAAAAAAUCAAGAUGUUUCGUAAUCAACAAAGCUGUGGAGGAGUCACCCUGUCAAUGCUUCCCCUUUCAUUGGAGCCGGCAUCUUCCCCUGGCAGCCAUUUUACGCGGCCCCGAACGCCACGCUGUGCCUGAGGGGAAACCGAUCCACAACACCGCGGCUCCGGAGCCUAGGCGAGCAUGGGAUAUAUGUCCUGCUAAUCACUUCAAAAAGACACGAAACGCCACUAAAAACAAGUCCUAUCGCAGCUCAACUCCCGCGGGCUGCUGCGGACUACGGGGUGGGGGGGGGGAGCGAGGCUCUCCGUGAAGGGGCCCCGCCCCCCCGCGCAAUCAGCGGUGGGAGCGCUCCGGCUCCGCCUCCCCUCCUCCGCCGCUCGCUCGCUCGCUGCGGCGCCGCUCGAGCCGCCGCUGCUCCGGGCCGCGCCACUGCCGCCGCUCCGCCAUGUGGCUGCUGGCCGCCUCCGUGCUGCUCGGUGCCCUGCGCGCAGGUUCUGCCCAGUUGACACUUUCUGGGACGAGUAUUAUAGAAAAAAAUGACUGUAAUAGAACCGUAGUUUUGCCUUGUUAUGCGACUAAUCUAAUCCAGAACAGUGAAAAAUUCAUGUUUGUUACAUGGACAAGUCAAGGAGUUAUAAUUUUUUCUUAUCAUGGAGGAACCAAGAACAUUAAUCGUCAUCCCUCAUUUUCGUCUGCAAGACUUCUAUCCCCAUCGGAAUUAAUCAAGGGUGUGGCCUCGCUGGCGAUUGACAGUCGACAAGCAGUUGUUGGAAAUUACAGCUGUAAAGUAACAGAAUCAAACAGAGAAGGAAAAAUAAGAAUGCAACUUGUAAACAGCUCAGUUGACAGUUGCGACGACGAAACAUCGGAGAAAUGUGGAUCAUGGUUCCUUCUAAUGGAGAAGGCUGUCAUCAUAUCAUUGGUGUGCUUCCUUGUUAUUUUAUGUGCAGCUCAGUUAACUUUUAUUGGCUUAAAGUAUGAAAUUGAAUCUCAGAGGAAAGUGUGCACUAUUGUAGCACUUGUCAUCUUUGCAAUUUUAGUUGGUGUAGGUGCUGCUCUUUUUAUGCAAGAUGGCUAUACUGUAGAGAAUCAGGCUGGUCUUGGCCUCCUUGUAAUCCCUGCUGUGAUUUUGGUACCCCUUCAGUACGUCAUGUUUGGAAUUGUUUUUGACAGUCUGCUGCAGGCAACAUUGGCUCUGAUAGGUUUAAAACUUCUUGGAUUUAUAAUUGCUAUAGUUGGUUUUGCACUGUGUGUCUCAGCCUGUCCUCCAUUACAUGGGUCUGUUCUGAUUGCUGGCUCAGCUAUUAUGGCUAUUGCAAGUUUGCUUAGUCUGGCUUACAUUUUAAUUAUGGGUUCCAGAAUGAAAGAUCAUCCUCGUCCGGGGAAUCACUACUUACUGUAUAUGUCAAUUAGAGUAAUUUAACUGUGGCCAGCCAGAAGUAAACAUGAAGGCUUUUUAUACAUAUAUAUAUUUUUAAAUGUUUUGCAGAAAGCUGUAGAAGAACCACUAAAUGGUAGGUGAUAUUCAAGGUUUAUCUUCUCAUUAAGGGAUUAAUUAUGGAUAAAGAUAGUUCUAGUUGCCACUACCACAACUCUAAGAUGGCAGAUCAGUGUGGCAACUUAUGUGGCUCUGUGAGUCAGUGAGAGCUUGAUUUCUCAAUAAAAGGUUGCCUGCAGCUCCAGACUCUGUUUUAUGCCACCAUGCUUGCUAGCCAGAGGCACUGUUUGGCUGUUUUAGGACAAAUCUAGUAUCUCACUAUACUAUGUCCACCCUCUUUGCUUUGCAAAAUGUCCAGCUUUUAAGGGACUCAUAUUGAAAACUGAUGUUAAUUCAUAAAGAUUUAUUUGGGUGAAAUACUUAAUGAUCACAGCAAAAUCUAUCCUUACCACUCUAUCAUUUCUGUAUUUCCUUGGGUUGGGGCAACUCUCAUGGUGUUGAGAGACUGAUAGCACUUAAGGUGAGGGAAAUUUACAGUGAAAAAGGGAUGACAUUGAAUUUUUUUUGCUAUUAUGUUCACCUAUUGGCAUGCUGAGUAGUAGCAAGUUCUAACCUGAAUUUUAGAACUAACAUGAAUACUAACCUGUAAAGCAUUUAUUUCUCUUUCACUCAUUACUAAUCCAUCUCCUUGACUUUUAAAGAUGCAAAAGGAGUGAUGUUAGAAUGAUGAACCGCAGAGCUAAGUGAUGCGUAUAUAAAAAGUACACCAUUGUUGAUACACCGUGGCCUUGAAGAUGCACUACUCAUCGAGAAGAAAUUCAGGACUCUAGUUGUUUUGCAUGUGUGGCAAAAGUGCUUUUGAUAUAAAUGACAUAAUUUUAUAGUCACAGCAGCUGUAGCAAGGAACAUGUGUGUUUGCCCACAUGUGAUCUUUAUUUUCUUUUGUUAUGGUGUAUAUGGGAUGGUUGAGGGUGAGACUAUAAAAAGCACUGUUUGCCCAGUACAGAGUCUCCCUGCAGUAAUCCUUAGUGGUAUUAUUUUCAAAAACUAUCAUUAGUCACUGCUUUGAUAAUGGGCCUGCUGAGCCCAGAAAUUGCAAUACCAUUUAGACUAUUGUUUUCUUUAUUUGUGUGCAUGGACAAAGUAUGGUUUAUGUGUAUGAUACAAGCAGGAAGUAGAGAUUGUACAAAUACAUCUUUUCUGACAUUCAGCAAAUUUUUAUUAAAGAAAUACAAAGUUAGUCACAAAGUUGCAUAAGUACAAAGUUUAUUCCCAGCUCUCUUGAAAUUAUUAACAAAGUUCUAAUUCCAGGAGAUGUUAGUAUUGCUCUCUGUGGACAGUAGUCAUGUGUGCUCUGGUGGCUGAUAUUUUUGUCCAGUGAGAGGGCUCUCCGUGCCUCCUCUGUACUCUUUGAUGGGAAACUGCUUAGCUGUUGGAGCCUAAUUCAGCACUGGAAUUACAGAGCACAGGAGCUGGUAAUCUUAAUGCUGAAUGUGGUUCUUGUGUGUGUUCAUGUUGUGCAGUGUGUGGAAUUGGAAGCAAUUGCAGGCUUUCUUAACUCAGUGAAUUUGUGAAAGUCGCGGAUGCUUCAUAAAAAAUAGAAGUUUCCUAUUUAGUAUAUUUUUGACAGUUUAAAACCUUGUUUUCUUGAAUGGAAAAAAGCUAUAUAAUUUCUGGCCCAGGUUUGUGUUGCUGCCAUUACAUCACAAAUAUAUAGAAUAAAAAGUAGGAAGAGCUGAUGAGUGAUGAGGAGUGAAGAAGCUCAGUUUCUGUAUAUAUAUCUAAUGAUAUGGUUAAAAAUCAGUUUACUAGGACUUGCACAUUCCAUGAGAUUCUGCUAUGUUUUACAGCUAUUUUGAGAGUUGUUCCAAUAUAGCUGGCUGCUCUUGGACUUUGCGUAUGCUUUGUAGAAAUCUUGACACUGUUUCCUGUUUGUACUAAGGUACUGUAUUUCAAAGGCACACAUGGUUUUCUCCUUCUAACAAUUUAAAACUUGGUUUGGAAAGCUGUUGCCAAACAGUCACGUAAUAAAAUCCAUGUUUUUAAAGAUCCUGAGUAAUUUGGCAGUUCUCAGAAUUGAAUGUUACAAACCAAGGUUCAUAUCCAUUUUGUGGGUGCGUGUUGCAGGGAUUUGGGUCUCUGCACGUCGAACUCCGAGUCGCAUUAAGAAUUUAACAAAGCAAAAUUGAGGUGUCGUAUUUUACAGUAGGUGCUGUCAUAAUCGUCCCUCUUGCCAAGGCUGCAGGAUUGAGCCAUUUAAAGCAAGGUAUGGGCCAGCCCUCACUGGGAUCAGUGGAACUGAACACAGGGAAGAGGGUCACCCAUGCGAUAAAAUGUGGGAGAAACAUGUAUGGCUCUCGUUUACUGUCCUACUUUGCCAGUGGGAGUAUUCACGUAAGGUUUGUGCUCUUACAGAUGAAUCUUUUGGUGCAGGUUUUUCCAUAAUCUCAGUGAUACCGAACUAAAGAUGGGACAUGGUUCUCCAUUACAAUUCAAUAUAAAAAUUUUUCUAAUUUACUAUUGUGCAGUGCUCCCUAUUUAUAACUAGUGAUUCCCUCUGUCAGGUUGAAAGUCUUAGCAGCAGAGGAAUAAAAAACCAAAUUAACUGGAAUUCUGUUGAGGUAUUCUGCCUUAUAAAAACAAUUAUGUAUAAUAGCUUUAUGUUCAUUUCUCUAAAGCAAACUGCAGCAGAACCCCGCUGUGUCACCGUGGGAUCAGGCGGAGCUGUUCCUAGGAAUUGUCAAAACCUGAGGAGCUCAGUGGCUGGCUAUGUGCUGCAGAAUCGUGGCCCCAGAAAUGGGAGAAACCCACCAUCCUGUUGCAUUAAGGGCUGGAUUUCUUGUAGGUGGGAAUUUAAAAGUGAGAGUUCAAAAAGUCAUUGGUACACCUAGCCAGCCCUUUCCCACCAGUAAUUUAAACCAAAGUUGUUCAUAACUGUAUGCUUUCAUUUGUGUGUGUACAUAUGUGUGAUAUAUAAAUAUAUAGACGUUUUAAAUAUCUAUAGAUCUAUAGUCUUUACCCAAGAAACUGUUUUUAUUUAUGAAGUAUAAAAUUAUUUUGUAAAUAUUGUGCUAAUAUUCUUUAAAAAUAAAGUAAUUUUAAGUUGUUUUUGCAGGAGA